AAGAUUGUGGAUGGGAAUGAAAAGAUAAGAGAGCCUUGAUUAUUUGGUUGGUAGUGCAUGCAUUGUUGGGAGCUAUUAGCUGGGAAAGAACAUACGGGUUAGUAACAUAAAAGAACCUAAGACUAUGGCUGGGAAUGAAAAGAAAAGGGAUCCUUGAUUAUUGGCUUGGUAGUGCAUGCAUUUUUGCGAGUUGGGAAAGGGCUUUUGAUUUGUUGGCUGGGAAUGAACCUACGGGUUAGUAACAGAAAAGAACCUAAGAGUUCUCGGCUUGGAAAAAAUAAAAGAGCUACGGCUUAAUGAGACAUAAGACAAAGACAAAGAGUCGAAAGACUAUGGAUGUGACAUGUUGGAUGGUAAAAACGACCAGCAGAGAAAAGAAUGACUUGUUGGAUUGGUAAAACACGACCAGCAGAGAAAAGAGGCCUGAAGAGAAGGCAGUUAACUGAAAAGACAAAGAGUCGAAAGACUAUGGAUGUGACAUGUUGGAUGGUAAAAACGGCCAGCAGAGAAAAGAAUGACUUGUUGGAUUGGUAAAAAAGACCAGCAGAGAAAAGAGGCCUGAAGAGAAAGCAGUGAACUUAAAAGACAAAGAGUCGAAAGACUAUGGAUGUGACAUGUUGGAUGGUAAAAACGACCAGCAGAGAACAGAAUGACUUGUUGGAUUGGUAAAACACGACCAGCAGAGAUAAGAGGCCUGAAGAGAAGGCAGUGAACUUAAAAGACAAAGAGUGAAAGAUUAUGGAUGUGACAUGUUGGAUGGACAAAAACGACCAGCAGAGAAAAGAAUGAGUUGUUGGAUUGGUAAAAACGACCAGCAGAGAAAAGAGGCCUGAAGAGAAAGCAGUGGACUUAAAAGACAAAGAGUCGAAAGACUAUGGAUGUGACAUGUUGGAUGGUAAAAACGACCAGCAGAGAAAAGAAUGACUUGUUGUAUUGGUAAAACACGACCAGCAGAGAAAAGAGGCCUGAAGAGAAGGCAGUGAACUUAAAAGAAAGUGUCGAAAGACUAUGGAUGUGACUUGUUGGAUGGUAAGAACGACCAGCAGAGAAAAGAAUGACUUGUUGGAUUUGGUAAAAACGACCAGCAGAGAAAAGAAGCCUUAAGAGAAGACAAUGGAAAGAUUAUAGACGAAGGUCUUUGGAAAGUUGUAAGACAUAGAUACUUGACAAAAAGAGGUAAGUAUAGGGCAUUUACUUAGUAUGAAAGACUAACGAAUUCUGUUUUCCUCAGGUGUGUGCUUCUGGAGAAGUUCAGAUAUUAAGACUUUCAGAAGAUUCAAGUGUUGCAUACUUCUUUGACAGGUAGAUGCUAUUCUAACCUUUUUGUUUUUGUUUUUAUUUGCUUUGCAAACUUGUUUGUAUAUGAAAAUCACAAUUGAGGUAUAUUCUUAUCUCGACUUCUCAGGUUAAUUUUCCCACUGAUGCAAAGGAUCAGGUAUAUGCUUAUCUUGGCUUCUCUUUAAUAAAAUCACAGAUGUACGCACCUUAUAUAAUUAAAAUUGUUUUAUUAUGUUAGCUGUCUUAAUAUCAUUACUAUCCUUGAUCUAUCUAUCUAAUUCUAGAAACUUAUUGCUAAGAUAUCAUUGAUAAAAAAUGGUGAUCUUGGUUUGCGUAUUGAACAUUAUAUUAUAUUGUGUGUUUGAAUUUUUUAAUUCUCUCUGUUUCUCAGUGUAUGCUUGUAUGUUCUUAGAAGGUCUCUUCUUUUAUAUAAUGGAUGCAUCUUCGAGUCUCUGAAAAUAUUUAUUUUGACAUUAGUUGUGACUUCUGCAGAUUAUGAUUGUAGUUUUCUUUGUAUCUUGAAAGUCUUUGUUUUAGUCUAAGCCUUUGGUGAUUGUGUUUAACAUGUGAAUUUCAUCCUACAAUUCUGCAUUCAUACACUGAGAAAAGGUAGAGUUUACUU
rnacentral:lncRNA from 1 species